UACGGAGGGUGCGAGCGUUGUCCGGAAUCACUGGGCGUAAAGGGCGCGUAGGUGGCGCGAGUAGUCAACGGUGAAAGCCCGGGGCUUAACCCCGGGUCUGCAUUCGAUACGGGCAGGCUAGAGUUCGGUAGGGGAGAUCGGAAUUCCUGGUGUAGCGGUGAAAUGCGCAGAUAUCAGGAGGAACACCGGUGGCGAAGGCGGAUCUCUGGGCCGAUACUGACGCUGAGGAGCGAAAGCGUGGGGAGCGAACAGG
rnacentral:rRNA from 1 species